GCCGGGGUGGUGAAAUUGGUAUACACGCUUGUCUUAGGAACAAGUGGGGAAACCCGUGGAGGUUCAAGUCCUCUCCCCGGCACCA
rnacentral:tRNA from 1 species